rnacentral:rRNA from 1 species
UACGUAGGUGGCAAGCGUUGUCCGGAUUUAUUGGGCGUAAAGCGCGCGCAGGCGGUCCUUUAAGUCUGAUGUGAAAUCUUGCGGCUCAACCGCAAGCGGUCAUUGGAAACUGGGGGACUUGAGUGCAGAAGAGGAAAGCGGAAUUCCACGUGUAGCGUGAAAUGCGUAGAGAUGUGGAGGAACACCGUGCGAG